UUAUUUUUUAAUAAUUAAUUUUUAUAUAAUUUUUAUAUAAUUAAUAUUUUAGUUAUUUAUAGGAAUAAAUAUUAUAAUAUAAUAAUAUUUUAAUAAUGAUAAAAUAAGUAUUUUAUAUAUAUAAAAUAUAGUAACUCGGCAAAUAUUAUUUUCGCCUGUUUAACAAAAACAUGGUCUUUUGUUUAUAUAAAAGGUCUAACCUGCCCUAUGAUUUAUUUAAAUGGCUGCAGUAUUUUGACUGUACAAAGGUAGCAUAAUCAUUUGUCUUUUAAUUGAAGGCUUGUAUGAAUGGUUGGAUGAAAAAUAUACUUUCUUUAUUUUAUAUAAAAAAUUUAAUUUUCUAGUCAAAAAGCUAGGAUUUUUUUAUAGGACGAGAAGACCCUAUAGAACUUUAUUUUCUUUUUUUAUAAACUUUAUAGGUAAAUAUAAGUUUAUAUAUUUUUGUUAAUUUUGUUGGGGUGAUUGAAAAAAUUUUUUAACUUUUUCUAUUUUUUACAUUUAUAUAUGUUUUUUUGAUCCUUUAUUAUGGAAUAAAAGAUUAAGUUACCUUAGGGAUAACAGCGUUAUUUUUUUGGAGAGUUCUUAUCGAUAAAAAAGUUUGCGACCUCGAUGUUGG
rnacentral:rRNA from 1 species